UGGGGAAUAUUGCACAAUGGGCGCAAGCCUGAUGCAGCCAUGCCGCGUGUGUGAAGAAGGCCUUCGGGUUGUAAAGCACUUUCAGCGAGGAGGAAGGUGGUGAGCUUAAUACGCUCAUCAAUUGACGUUACUCGCAGAAGAAGCACCGGCUAACUCCGUGCCAGCAGCCGCGGUAAUACGGAGGGUGCAAGCGUUAAUCGGAAUUACUGGGCGUAAAGCGCACGCAGGCGGUUUGUUAAGUCAGAUGUGAAAUCCCCGGGCUCAACCUGGGAACUGCAUUUGAAACUGGCAAGCUAGAGUCUCGUAGAGGGGGGUAGAAUUCCAGGUGUAGCGGUGAAAUGCGUAGAGAUCUGGAGGAAUACCGGUGGCGAAGGCGGCCCCCUGGACGAAGACUGACGCUCAGGUGCGAAAAGCGUGGGGAGCAAAACAGGAUUAGAUACCCUGGUAGUCCAGCGCUGUAAAACGAUGUCGAUUUUGGAGGUUGUGCCCCUUGAGGCGUGGCUUCCGGAGCUAACGCGUUAAAUCGACCGCCUGGGGAGUACGGCCGCAAGGUUAAAAACUCAAAAGGAAUUGACGGGGUC
rnacentral:rRNA from 1 species